GACGUAGGGCGCGAGCGUUGUCCGGAUUUAUUGGGCGUAAAGAGCUCGUAGGUGGUUUGUCGCGUUGUUCGUGAAAACCUGAGGCUUAACCUUGGGCGUGCGGGCGAUACGGGCAGACUGGAGUACUGCAGGGGAGACUGGAAUUCCUGGUGUAGCGGUGGAAUGCGCAGAUAUCAGGAGGAACACCGGUGGCGAAGGCGGGUCUCUGGGCAGUAACUGACGCUGAGGAGCGAAAGCGUGGGGAGCGAACAGG
rnacentral:rRNA from 1 species